UAGAGUUUGAUCCUGGCUCAGAUUGAACGCUGGCGGCAGGCCUAACACAUGCAAGUCGAACGGUAACAGGAAGAAGCUUGCUUCUUUGCUGACGAGUGGCGGACGGGUGAGUAAUGUCUGGGAAACUGCCUGAUGGAGGGGGAUAACUACUGGAAACGGUAGCUAAUACCGCAUAACGUCGCAAGACCAAAGAGGGGGACCUUCGGGCCUCUUGCCAUCGGAUGUGCCCAGAUGGGAUUAGCUAGUAGGUGGGGUAACGGCUCACCUAGGCGACGAUCCCUAGCUGGUCUGAGAGGAUGACCAGCCACACUGGAACUGAGACACGGUCCAGACUCCUACGGGAGGCAGC
rnacentral:rRNA from 1 species